UCUAGAGAACCUCAUGUCCCACACACAUAGGAGGACCUGCCAAGCCCCACAGCUCAUGGGCUACCAUAACAAUUACAGUCAAGGCUGUUUCCCACCCAGAGGCCCAACUGCCCCCACACAGAGACUACCAGCUGCAGAGUCCUCUACAAACAGGGUUCUACUCUCUCCUACCAUUCACUCCUCAGAGCUGCAAGCAUUAGAGAAGCUGAUUGUCCAGAACAAGCUUUGAACAAGUAAUGAAGUCUUUCCUCAACAGGACAACUAUCUACUUGUGUGAUGUGGAAGACAGGAAACACCCAUUGCCUGUUGCAUUCAUUUGCAUAAGCUCCUUAUGCACAAGGACACAGUGGAGAGAAAAGUGUUAACAAGCUUCCAGUCACUUGGUGCUAGGAAAACACAGGUCACACUGAGUACAGAAAUGAUGACCCCAAAGAAAGCCUCAUUCACUGAAUCUCCACGCCAUGACAGGCACUGAUGUGGAUGUUUUCUCAAUGAAAGCUCUGUGGUGUGUUAGUAUCUCAGUCUACGAUUAGAAAAUGGAGCUUUGAAUUAAUAUAUGCUCAAGGCCACCCUGAGAGUCCACCCCUACCUCUCUCGAAGCCAAUUAUCUUCAAUUAAGAGAGAAAUAUGUUCCGUCUGUAACUCAUCAAUAAGCUAAGCAAAUAAAGCAAGAUGUGAUAAUUUGCUUAAAAUCCAUCUGUUACCUUGGCUUGAACAUACCUUUUCUUUCAUUGAUACCUUAAAACAUUAUCCCCCAAAGAAAAGUUUGAUGGGCCAAUCCAAAUCCUAAAAGAAUCCUGGUAGAUGAACAGCCUACAGUCUCUAUCUCCUUGCUUAGCAUACGGCUACCUUAUACAGUGUGUCAACUGAGUUUCAUUCACUUCAAUUCUCAGAGAGUUUGCCCCUCUUGUUGUUCUGAAGCCUGAAGCCCUUGAUACAGUUAGUUUAGUGGUUUACUUGAUAUCUGAUCGGUUUGAUGACUAAAUCAGUUGUGUUAUAACAUGCGCUUGUCUAUUGAUACCCAAACAAUAAAUUUCAAGCCAUCUUCUUUGGGAAUUACGGUAAAGGAAAUAACCAUCAUUUCAAUUAUCAUGAAAAUAUUGACUGAAAGCCACGUUUCUCACUAAACACUCACAGAAUCCCUUUGGAACACGGCAUUGUUCAAAUGAUUAUAAAGGUAAAGAAGUAGAGGCCUUGUUCCCAUCUGUGGGAAUCUGCUGUUCAGUUAAUCUGGUGCAGUGUUCUUAAUCCUCUAAGAGGCCGUGCCUUUGAAGAACCUGAAAAAAAAGAUAGAGCCCCCAGAAACGCCUCUGAUGUGAUAAUAAUAGGAAUUGCAAAGAUGUCCUGAGGUUCUCUGUCACUCCAAGUCCAGGAACUCACUUUGGAAUGUUACAAGGAAUGGGGGCUCAGUUAGUGCCAACAUCAGCGAUAGUUUUUGGAGAGAAGAAAAUCUACUGUCAAUCGGACACAUGGCUGCAAGGAAGAGACAGGCAGCUGUGUGAAUAAAUGAAUGCAGUGGCCGAGAGUAACAAAGUCGAUGGUUCUACCAUGCUGGCAAUGGAUAAAAGUUGUGUGACUUAAAAUGAGGGACUUAACAGAAAGGAUCUGUGACCACACCAGGCACUCUCCGCUGCUACAAUAGUUCUGUAAUUGAUCCCACUCAGAACAAUGUCAGACCAUUGCUAACCCCUGGACUCUGCAUAGUGAUAAAAUUGAUCCAACCGGACAGGGCCUUUGAGCGGGACUCAUACCUGGUUAGCAAAGCUGGACCUAACAGUUGCUGGGAUACACUCCUCCAGGUUGGCAUCAUCAAAGAUGAUAGCAGGAUUCUUGCCUCCCAGCUCCAGGGAGAGCUUCUUGCAGUGGGGGGCACUUAGUUGGGUAAUCCGUUCUGCUGUGGGCUGGCUCCCAGUGAAGGAGAUCAAGGGUACCUCUGGGUGGGACACAAGGGCCUCACCAGCCCUCGGCCCUGUUCCAAACACAAUAUUGAUCACACCUGGUGGGACACCUGCAUGGGAAAUAAAACCAGUGGUAGUAAUUCUCCCAGGGUUACUGAGGAUACCUGAGGUGACCUGGUAGUCCAAAAGCUGGCAUGUGGGGUGGGGUGGGCUGCUGUGACUGCACCUGGAGAUUUUAUGACAAGCUCAAGUUAAUAACAAAGCCAAUCUACAAAGUCACCUCUGCUUAUAGAAUCCACCUGCUGGGGUUUUCUGGGUGCUUUGGCCUAGAAAGAUACAGAGUGGGUACAUUCUAAGAAACUCUGAUACUGACUAAGCUUUUGGGGCUGAUGUAGAAGUACCAUCAAGCAGAUCAAACCUCAUGUGGAGCGGGGACUGGCUCCAACUUGAUGCCCAGAAGUUGCAGACCAAGGUGACCAUGUUAAGUGGAUAUUGACUCAAGAUCCUGUGUCCUUGAUUAUAUACAGCGUCACUGCAGCCAAGAUCACAUGACAAAUACCAAGACCAUACAAAAGUCAAUGCCUCAAGCUUUUCUACUGCAAGACCCUUUAGACCCAAAUUUACAUGAAUAUAUUUACCUAUUCUCAGGAUUAAAUUCUUUAGGGUUCUCCUUGGAAGCAACCUACCAAUUCCCACCGGAGUGCGAACGGUGUAGUGCAUGCAGCCCAGGUGGCUCAUCUGUGUGCACUCCGAUACGUGAUGCAGGAUGGAGGAAGCAAAGAACCGGAAAUUCAGUACAGAUCGAGGAAUGUCCAUGGUCCUUGCCAGCGUGAGGGUUUUCCCUGUGGAAAAUGAACAACAUAAAAUGUUGCCUGUGUGUUUCACCUGGAGUCAUCUGACACCACGCUCAUUUCCAGCCCUCCCGAGGCACUUCUUCACUGCACUUGCGUGGAUCAAGCGAUGAACGACUUAGGCGUGAGGUUGUAGAAUAAGGUGGAGGUGGGCCUAAAAUAGAGCUAGAACGUUUCUGUGAACACCUCAAGCUUUCAUCAUGAAAGUACCAGAUGCUGCCGUUCCACGUGCAUGGGCGUUAGCAGCUUUGAAAUGAUUGGGUUGGAAUAAUGAGUGUUACAAUGACUGUGUGCAUCCUUAAACAUCUUCCAAAUACACUGAGGAGCCAUCAAGAGGCCUAGUGAGGAGAACCCUCAGCACAGGAUGCCAGCUUCUGUAUGGAGGAACCUUUCUUGAACUUCUCUCAGGUGACCCUCAGUGAUGAAGUACGACCACUGACCCGAGAACAAGAGCAAAAGAAAAAUUGUCCUUUCCGCUGGAGAGGUGGCUCAGCUGUUGGGAGCACUGGCUGCUCUUCCAGAGGUC